UUUUUGUGUGUUUUGCAAAAGAUUGUUUUUUUAUAGCUAAUAAAGAUGUUACCUUUUGUAUCAUGGUGUUGUUAUAAGACAAACAGUUAUUGUCCGAAAUUCUUGGCGCAAGAAGGAAUUAAGUAAGCUGUAUCAAAAGCUAGUGAUUUUCUUAGAGUGGUUAAAAACUAUUCGACUUGAAAGGUAUCUGAUUUAUAGUUUAAUUGUCUUUAGAUUAGCUAAAGGCCAAAUUACAGCUUUGUAGUUAAAUGAUUUUAGGUCUUAUAGUGGCUAUGUUUAAAGUGUGUUAUAGCUUUAUUUUUUAUAGUAGUGGUCUGUAUUGUUGGUAUAAAUAACUUAACCUCCGGUUUUAAAAAAUCUACGAUAAUUAGUAGAAGCUUAGAUAGUCUAAGAGAACUCAAAAUUUUUCUAAAUGUUUAACAAAAACAUUUUUUUAUUUUUAUAAAAUAAGGUCUGCCCACUGAGUUUUAAAUGGCUGCGGUAUUUUAACUGUGCUAAGGUAGCAUAAUAAUUUGUUUUUUAAUUGAAGGCUGGCAUGAAAGGCCUAAUAGUAAAAUAUUUUUGAGAGCUAUUUUUUGAAUUUGAAGUUUAAGUAAAAAUGCUUAAAUUUGUAUAAAAGACGAUAAGACCCUAAAAGCUUUAUUUUAAGGAGUUGAAAUAUUAUUUAAUAUUUUUGUUUUUCUUUCUUUAUAUUUUUAACUGGGGUAGUUUCUUUGUUUUUAUAAAACAGUGUUAUACUUAUCAGGUUUUGUUUUCCUUAAGAUUAGGGGUUUUGUUUUAGUUACUUUAGGGAUAACAGCAUAAUGUUUUUAAAGAGCCCAAAUCGAUAAAAAAGCUUGUGACCUCGAUGUUGAAUUAAAAAGUCUGGCUAGGGCAGCACUUAGCUAAGAUGGUUUGUUCAACCAUUAAAAUUUUACAUGAUUUGAGUUCAAACCGGUUUAAGCCAGGUUGGUUUCUAUCUUUAUAUGUGGUGUUUGUGUUUGUAGUACGAAAGGGCCCAAACGUAUUUUA
rnacentral:rRNA from 1 species